rnacentral:lncRNA from 1 species
AUGAAUGCUUUUUGUAUGUGUGUGAGCGUGUCGGAUACUUUUCCGAUUUUCCCUUUUACCACAUUAGUUUUUGCUUUUUUCUUUUGGACACUUGAUAACAACUCAAGUCCCCAACACACAUCCACACCUCAGUAACAAAGAGAGCGUUGGCAGGCAGAGAGAGAGAGAGCCGACGAGAGAAUGAAGGGCAUCCGGCGAAUAUCCGGUGAGUACUCCGGCGCGUGAGUGGUACCAAUCUAAGACUUAGAUCAUGGCAGUGAUCUCGAUUGUCCGAUCGUGCAUCGGUGAUGGUUAUGGCAGGACGAUAGACGGCGGCGAGCUUAUUGGCCGGAAAAGGGAACGACGGUGACAGAGCCUCACUUCUCUUGCUCUCUCUGGAUAACAAAAACGGGUUCUAAUAAGGGGCAACAAUGACCGGCAGCAGCGGAACAGUGAAAUUUUGAACAAGAUUACUUUCACCUAGACAAAGGUUUGAAAAUGUUGGAAGGAAGGCAAAUCACCAAAUAAAUUAAAAGCCUUGCACUACUGACAAGAGAAAAUUGCUGGAAGCUUGAAGUUGAAGCUGGUAAGGUUGAAUUGACUAGCGCUCAUUGGAUUGAAGAAACAAGAAAAAUCACAAAGUCCAAUAGAAGAUGGACAUGUUAGUAUUUAUUGUCACUUUGUUUUUUUUAUUCUAAUGCAACUAAGCUAUAUCAUUUGAAUCUAAGUGAAUGGAAUAGAUUGUUACAUUUAAUGCUUAAGGGUUUGUUCAUCCUUUUCAUCUACACUUCUUUUUAGAUUUUGUAUAUAGUCGAUUGCUUAUCUAUAUUAGUUUCUGUACAAAAGGUGGUGUCGGAGUCGCGUGUUUUUCAGUUUGAAUGAUGUGUGGUGAUGAUAUCAUUUUUAUGCGUGUAUUGCUCCCCAAGUGUGCCUUUAAAAGUAAGACCCAUGAGUUGAGAAAAACGUAGGACGAAACCAUUCAACCUUGAUCGUACUAGGCGGAAUGUUACAAACAGGCUUCGACUUUAUAUGAAACUUUUCAUUUGUAAGACCCGAGCCGCAACGCGGCGAGGAUAAAAUCU